UCUUCUGAUUACUUAUAACUUUAUAAGUGUGUUUGCGUAACUAGCAAAAGAAAAAUAAAAAACAUGGCAAGCUCCAAAUUUCUUGUUGUCUUGGCUUUGUUCUUUACAUGCUUAUCUCUAAAUUCAGCCAACUAUCGAAACAAACCCUGGGAACAAACUGAAAUGGUGAAUCCCAAUGGUGCUAUUGAUACCAAUGGGAAAGAGCCAGGGGAAUGAGGUGGAGGAUACGUAGGUUGGUGCAGGCACGGUUGCUGCUAUACGGGACGCAAUGGCUGCAUCCAAUGCUGUAGGUACGCCAACGAGCAAACUAACAAUGUGGGGAUGCAGAAACGCAGCCGUGGACAAGUGGAAAAGAAAUCAUCAGAGGAAGAGGAGGCUUCUCCAGUUUGGACUCAGAGCCGACACUGAAAAAGGAGCUAAACCAUAUAGACAUGUUACCGUUUAACGUAUGGCCACUUUAAGCUGCUUGUUUAAUAAAAUAAAAUGAAAACAUGAACGUAUCUUAGAUGGUACAUGGAAUAAAGUAAUUGUCCAAAAUAAAUAAAAAAGGUAAGUAUCCGUUUGUAUAUGUUGUCUGCAUGCGCAGCUCUAUAUAUGUGUUUGUUUCUAUGCUUAAAGGAUACGUAUCU